GGGGAUGUGACUCAGUAGUAGAGCACCUGCUUCGCAUGCAUAAGACUCCGGGUUCAGUCCCCAGCACCUCCC
rnacentral:tRNA from 1 species